CCAAUAGCGUAUAUUAAAGUUGUUGCAGUUAAAAAGCUCGUAGUUGAAUUUCGGGGUUAGUAGGUUUGGUCAUGCCUCUGGUAUGUACUGAUCUUACUGAUUCCUCCUUCCUGAUGAUCCGUAAUGCCAUUAAUUUGGUGUUGCGGGGAAUUUGGACUGUUACUUUGAAAAAAUUAGAAUGUUUAAAGCAAGCUAACGCUUGAAUACAUUAGCAUGGAAUAAUGAAAUAGGACGUUCGAUCCUAUUUUGUUGGUUUCUAGGAUUGACGUAAUGAUUAAUAGGGAUAGUUGGGGGCAUUAGUAUUCAAUUGUCAGAGGUGAAAUUCUUGGAUUUAUUGAAGACUAACUACUGCGAAAGCAUUUGCCAAGGAUGUUUUCAUUAAUCAAGAACGAAAGUUAGGGGAUCGAAGACGAUCAGAUACCGUCGUAGUCUUAACCAUAAACUAUGCCGACUAGGGAUCGGAUGAUGUUAAUUUUUUAAUGACUCAUUCGGCGCCUUACG
rnacentral:rRNA from 1 species